UACGUAGGUGGCAAGCGUUGUCCGGCAUUAUUGGGCGUAAAGCGCGCGCAGGCGAUCCUUUAAGUCUGAUGUGAAAGCCCACGGCUCAACCGUGGAGGGUCAUUGGAAACUGGGGGACUUGAGUGCAGAAGAGGAAAGCGGAAUUCCACGUGUAGCGGUGAAAUGCGUAGAGAUGUGGAGGAACACCAGUGGCGAAGGCGGCUUUCUGGUCUGUAACUGACGCUGAGGCGCGAAAGCGUGGGGAGCAAACAGG
rnacentral:rRNA from 1 species